UACAGAGGGGGCAAGCGUUGUUCGGAAUUACUGGGCGUAAAGGGCGCGUAGGCGGCCUGUUAAGUCGAACGUGAAAUCCCUGGGCUCAACCCAGGAACUGCGUCCGAUACUGUCGGACUAGAGUCCGGAAGAGGCAAGUGGAAUUCCCGGUGUAGCGGUGAAAUGCGCAGAUAUCGGGAGGAACACCAAUGGCGAAGGCAGCUUGCUGGGACGGUACUGACGCUGAGGCGCGAAAGCGUGGGGAGCAAACAGG
rnacentral:rRNA from 1 species